GUGAGGAAUAUUGGUCAAUGGGCGGAAGCCUGAACCAGCCAUCCCGCGUGCAGGAAGACGGCCCUAUGGGUUGUAAACUGCUUUUCCAGGGGGUGAAUUUUCCGGUCGUGACCGGGAUUGACGGUACCCUGGGAAUAAGCAUCGGCUAACUCCGUGCCAGCAGCCGCGGUAAUACGGAGGAUGCAAGCGUUAUCCGGAUUUAUUGGGUUUAAAGGGUGCGUAGGCGGAUAGAUAAGUCAGUGGUGAAAACCUGCAGCUUAACUGUAGACUUGCCGUUGAUACUGUCAGUCUUGAGUAUGGUCAAGGUAGGCGGAAUGUGUAAUGUAGCGGUGAAAUGCUUAGAUAUUACACAGAACACCGAUUGCGAAGGCAGCUUACUGGGCCAAUACUGACGCUGAUGCACGAAAGCGUGGGGAUCGAACAGGAUUAGAUACCCCAGUAGUCC
rnacentral:rRNA from 1 species